GAGGAAAGUCCGGGCGCCGUCGAAACGCGGUGGUGGGUAACACCCACCGGCCGCGAGGCCAGGGAAAGUGCAACAGAAAGCAGACCGCCAUCGGGCCGGGGCAACCCAGCCUGAGGGUAAGGGUGAAACGGUGAGGUAAGAGCUCACCAGCAGGCCGGGUAACCGGUCUGGCUAGGCAAACCCCACCGGGCGCAAGGCCAAGCAGGGAGCAUGGGUGGCGGCAGCGAAUCCGUUCGCCACCGGCCGCCCACGGAUUGUUUCGAGCCGUAACAGACUUCCGGGUAGGCUGCUCGAGACGCCGAGUAAUCGUCGUCCUAGAGAAAUGGCCACCGCCCGUCGUCGCCCUCCGGGGCUUCGACGGGAACAGAAUCCGGCUUAUGAAUUCUGCACAGAACCCGGCUUA
rnacentral:RNase_P_RNA from 1 species